UACGUAGGGUGCAAGCGUUAUCCGGAAUUAUUGGGCGUAAAGAGCUCGUAGGCGGUUUGUCGCGUCUGCCGUGAAAGUCCGGGGCUCAACUCCGGAUCUGCGGUGGGUACGGGCAGACUAGAGUGCAGUAGGGGAGACUGGAAUUCCUGGUGUAGCGGUGAAAUGCGCAGAUAUCAGGAGGAACACCGAUGGCGAAGGCAGGGUCUCCUGGGCGUGUAACUGACGCUGGAGGAGCGAAAGCUGGGGAGCGAACAGG
rnacentral:rRNA from 1 species